rnacentral:lncRNA from 1 species
CUCGCCCCGAGCGGGGCUGGGGAUCCCCAUCCCGGGGGGGUCCGUGCCCCCAGCCCUCAUGUCCCACGGCGGGGCGGGACGGGGCGGCCGGGAGCGCGCGGCGGUGGCRGUGGCGGUGGCCGGGUCCCCUGUGGGAGCGCGGUGCCCCAAAGCAGCGCCCGGGCUCCUGGGGGAGACCGUCCCGGGCGGCCGGUUAUUCGCAUCCCCGCGCUGCGGCUAUUUUUGGAGUCUUCUGGGUUUAUUAAUUGCRCAAUUUUGUGGCUCAGAGGAGCUGACAAGCUCCGUGAGCCCCCGGUGGGACCCGGCAGGCUCGGGGCAGGCGGCAUCCCCGGCCCCGCGCCCGGGCGCAGGGCGUUUGUGCUGGUUUCGUGCCCAGGAAGCAGCCUGCUCGCGGCCGGCCCUGGCAAGCGCCCGGCUCCUGCCCGACCUGUUUCCCAGACGGCUCGACAAGCUCGGGCAGGAGCUGCCCGGCUCCGGGAGCGCGAGGGCUGCCUGGAGCGGGGCCGAGCCGUGGGGCGACCGGGGACCCUGCAGCCGGGAGCAGGAGCGGUCCCAUUGCUUCAGCUCGGCGCGGAGCUGCGGCCAGCCGGGAGCGGCGGGGCGGCCGGGAGGCUCGCAAAGGGGAAGGAGAGCUGCAAGACUGAACCCACACGUGAUUCAGGCUUUUGCAGCCUGUCCUGGUGCCGGGUGCAGCCGGUGCCCGGUGCCGGCACGAGGCAGGGGCUUAGCAGCCCCCCAAGGUCUCCGCGGUGCGGGCCGGGCCGAGGCUGGGGCCGGUGCAGCCGGCUGGGCUCGGCUCAGCGAGGCGGGAGCCGUCUCGAGCGGCGCUCGGCCGCCAGAGCAGCCGCCUUGCUGYGGCAGGGCGCGAGGGAGGAGCGCUGGCAGCGCCGGCUGGGGUUUCCUUUGCGGCGAGCGCAAUCGGGGAGGGCGCGUAGGCGGGACGGCACCGGGCUGCGCUGAGCCGGCUGUGGGCUGUCCGGUCAAUUUGCUCCUGGCAGAAAUAGAUGGGCUGGCUGGAAAAUGCCCGUAACCGGUGGCCCAGAGCGGUCGGUUUUGCUGCAGGUGCUGCAACCGGUAACCCGGCCGUCUCAACGUCUCCCGUCUUCCAUCGACGUUUGCAGGGGUGCCCGCGGCGUGGUGGCCGCAGGGCUGGUGCYGCCGAGGUUUCUCGAGGCCGUGCGGUGCCCCCGGGCCGCGGCGGGGAGGGCAGCUCUGCCGGCGCCGCUUUGGCUCUCCGCCCGGCCCGCACGGCUGCUUCCCCGGGCCGCCUCUCCGUGCAGGCGCUCGCGCUUUGCUGCCCGCGUUUCGCUUGCCGGCCUCUGCCGGGGGCCGCCACAUCUGGCCGCCAGCUG